UGGUUCAGUUUUGCAUUUUAGAGUGUGGAAUAAUACGUAAAACGACAGAUUGAAUAACGGAGAAUUCCUGAAUGUUUACUUAAACACGUUCAUCAAUAAUUAUUAAUUUGAUUUUCAAGAAAUAGAACAUCCCGCAUAUCUUUAUUUAACGGUAUCUUAAAUAGUUCGCGGCGACAACGUACCGCGUAACAUUUUUCGAAAUGUACAGCGGUGUUGUUUACAAGUGUGUUUGUUAUCAUUCGCGCGGCGACCGCGAGCGGUGAGGGCGGUGAGAGCGGUGAGGUGGCGCGCGCUCACGCGUGUAGGUGAUUUUGCGAACGGCUCUGUGUAUCAUUGCGCGAUUAGCUCUACGAGACGCAAUUGCGACAAAUAUUGGCGGGCAUCAAACACGAUUCCUAGCAAGUAAUUCGUUAGUGCGAUCAAUUACGUUUUACGAUUAAACUGUUGACCAAGCUUUGUAUUUAAGUACGCACCGCCAGCCGGUGUGAAGUUGACACUGCUUACGCGUUUCGCGUGAUUCGUUACUCUUUACGAGAAAUUGCACUUUACGAGACGUUGCAAGUGGAGUAGAUAUCUAACCUAACUUCAGUCUUUCUAUCGCAAUAUAAUGGGACGCGUAUUAUACAGAAAAAAAUACCGUACAACGUAUUACGCGCUUAUUGUGUGUUAAUCAUUAGUUCGUGAGUGUUUUUUUUUUGCGAGUGUCGUGUAAGUGCCUAAGGAGGACAAGAUGCUUUGACAAUCAUCCUGAGAGGAGGAGGAGGUCUAGGAAAGACAUCAGGCGCCAGCGGAGCAACCUUGCGAUCUACGUAGUCAACGUAGCAGAUAACUCCGCUGUUGCGCAUCAGUCGUAUCACCGCAGCUUCAUGGCUGAGUAACUCCGCUUGUUGCGCAUCGGGUCGGUGAGUUAGUUUCUUAUGAUAUUUGCACAUGUAUCGUUUGCAGGAUUAAAGGAAAGGACACUGAAAGAAAGAGUUUGGUAACAGCUACCAAAUGUUGGGUGAAAUAAAUUUAAAUAAUCAUAUAUUUGAUUAAUAUAAUAAAAAAUAAUUUUAUUUUUUUAAACA